rnacentral:rRNA from 1 species
GAGUUUGAUCCUGGCUCAGGAUGAACGCUGGCGGUAUGCUUAACACAUGCAAGUCGAACGAAAGUUUUUAACUUUAGUGGCGAACGGGUGAGUAAUACGUGAGAAUCUGCCCUUAGGAAAAGAAUAACUUCUGGAAACGGUUGCUAAAUCUUUAUAUGUCGAGAGAUGAAAUAGCUUAGGCUGCCGAAGGAUGAGCUCACGCCUGAUUAGCUUGUUGGUGAGGUAAUGGCUCACCAAGGCCACGAUCAGUAGCUGGUUUGAGAGAACGAUCAGCCACACUGGGACUGAGACACGGCCCAGACUCCUCCGGGAGGCAGCAGUGAGGAAUUUUCCGCAAUGGGCGAAAGCCUGACGGAGCAAUACCGCGUGAGGGAUGAAGGAUUUUGGUCUGUAAACCUCUUUUCUCAAGAAAGAAGUUCUGACGGUACUUGAGGAAUAAGCAUCGGCUAACUCCGUGCCAGCAGCCGCGGUAAUACGGGGGAUGCAAGCGUUAUCCGGAAUGAUUGGGCGUAAAGCGCCUGUAGGUUGUUUAUUAAGUCCGUUGUUAAAGCCUAGGGCUUAACCCUAGAAAAGCAAUGGAAACUAGUAGACUAGAGUAUGGCAGGGGUAGAGGGAAUUUCUAGUGUAGCGGUGAAAUGCGUAGAUAUUAGAAAGAACACCGGUGGCGAAAGCGCUCUACUGGACCAUUACUGACACUCAGAGGCGAAAGCUAGGGUAGCAAAAGGGAUUAGAUANCCCUGUAGUCCUAGCCGUAAACGAUGGAUACUAGAUGUUGUGCAUUAUGUACAGUAUCGUAGCUAACGCGUUAAGUAUCCCGCCUGGGGAGUACGCUCGCAAGGGUGAAACUCAAAGGAAUUGACGGGGGCCGCACAAGCGGUGGAGCAUGUGGUUUAAUU